CAUGUUCCUGCAUUUCUUUUGUGUUAGAAUCUAAUAUAACAGACCAUGGCUCUGAAGAGAAUCCACAAGGAAUUGAGUGACCUGGCAUGGGAUCCCCCAGCACAGUGUUCAGCAGGUCCUGUUGGAGAUGACAUGCUCCACUGGCAAGCUACAAUAAUGGGGCCAAAUAACAGUCCAUAUCAGGGUGGAGUGUUUUUCUUGACAAUUCAUUUCCCAACAGAUUACCCCUUCAAACCAUCUAAGGUUGCAUUUACAACAAGAAUUUAUCACCCAAAUAUUAACAGUAAUGGCAGCAUUUGUCUUGAUAUUCUACAGUCACAGUGGUCUCCAGCACUAACUAUUCCAAAAGUACUCUUGUCCAUCUGUUCUCUGUUGUGUGAUCCCAAUCCAGAUGAUCCUUUAGUGCCUGAGAUUGCUCGGAUCUACAAAACAGAUUGAGAAAAGUACAACAGAAUAGCUUGGGAAUGGACUCAGAAGUAUGCCAUGUAAUUAAAGAAAUUAUUGGAUAACCUCUACAAAUAAAGAUAGGGAAACUCUGAAAGAGAAAGUCCUUUUGAUUUCCAUUUGACUGCUUUCCAUUUGACUGCUUUCUAUGAGCCCACGCCUCAUCUUCCCCUGUGCACAUGUUUAUCUGAUACAGCAGUGCUGCGUGUUGUACAUACUUGGAACAACAAACUAGAAAUACUGUACUUCUGUACCAACAUUGCCUCCUAGCAGAGAAGUGUGUGUGUGACAAGCCAUUUCUCCAGGCAUAACCUAGGUGUGAGACUAAAAGCUUUCCUUAUUGACUUAAAUUUGGAUAAUGGCAAGGUGUGAGGGGUGGUGGGUUUGGUGUGUGCUUGGAUGGGGAAGAAAAGCUCCACUGACCUGUAGGAGAUUGCUUUUAAGUGGAAUCCAUUUAAAUUCAAAACAGUUAUGUAAAGCAAGGUGAAGAACAUGAAGCUGUUUUUGUAUUCAUUUUAUUCCAAAGAACCUGCGUCUUGGGUGAAAGUUAUGACCAACCAGAUUAAUUCUACCCACAUCCUGUAUUUUAAGGUCUAAGUUUAACUGGCCAAUAUUUAAAUGGAUUGGAGCUAUUAGUACAUAAAGUGUGAUGGGCUUUGUUCCCAGCUCUUUUAUGUCUCCCGUCCCCUCAACCUUCAGCCUUUCAGCCUCUCUUUCUCUCUUCCAUAUUCUUUGGUUUGUAUGUGGUUUCUCAGUUAAUUCAUAGCUAAUAGCUCUUAUUUUCUUAUAUUUUUAACUGCUUAGGUCUAUUUGGAUGUAAGGGUGAAAAUUCAUUUGAUGAAAAUACUUGUCUUUAUUUAAAGACCCAAUUGCUCCUCUGGAGCGUGUACGUUCAAGAAUAAUUAAUCUGUGUAAUAAACUGAUUACUAUAGUCAUUAUAUAUAUAAAAAAAAGAAUCUAAUAUAACAGAACCUGUUCUCAGCCUCUCUGUUGCUUGUGUAGUAGAUUAGCAGGGUGGAGAGCUCCAGAUGUCUUGAUGAGCCAAACUGGCAUUAAUUCUAGUGUCUGGCAGCAUUUUUCAUAGAUCUGUGGUGUGGAAUGAGGGGUUAAUACUUAAAACUUUUUUGAUUUAAAAAUGCCAGGUAUGGGGAAAGGGAGUGACUACCAAUAGGUACCAGGUUUCUUUUUGGGAUGAUGAAAAUGUUUUAAAAUUGAUAGUAGUGAUGGUUGCAUAGCUCUGAGAAUAUUCUAAAAACCAUUAAAUGAUAUAUUGUAAAUGGAAAAAAAAAGUGCCAGGUAAGUUUAAGAUGGUAGUAAUGUUGUCUAAAAGCUAUUAGAAAUAACAUUUCCAGAAUUCUGUUAAGUUUCAUUACCAGAAUUCUGGGACACCUAGCAUAUAAUAUUAAUAGCUAGAGCUGGCUCCUAAAUACAGUAAAUUGCUAUUAUCAUCUCGCAUACUUUAGGGGACCCCAAAGUGUCUUCCCAGGGCUGGCUGUUAUGAUAGCAUAUGAAAUCACUGGCUUCAUUGACUGCAGCAGCCAGCAUGCUCUUGACUUGGUUUGCAUGACUAUUUGAAGCUCCACAACCUUUCCCUGAUGCAGAUAGCAGUGUUUGUAUCACGAGCAGGGCUUCUGCCAGUUUUGGCAGGGCAGAAUUAUUUAAUAGAAGCCGAGUUUAGAGUAGCUACAUGGGCUGUUUCUUUGUUAAGGGGACCUAAAGAAGAAAGAGGAGAGUGGCUCCUGGGCACUCAUCACGUGAGGUUAACACUAAAAAUAAUACAUGGAUGAAUUACUUGCAUUCAUCAGUCACAUGGGAACAUCUACAAUGAGUGGCUAUUACAUUUGCCAUAUCAAAAAGAAGAAAGAUGUGUUAUCUACAAUGUCCACAAAGUUUGUGCCUCAGAAAGGCCUCCCUAAAGACCUGGGCUAUAUGUACUUUUACCACAGUAUAACAAACUAAACCUAAAACAUACACAUCAACAAGAAGAAGCUAUAUACUUUUUUUUUUUUUUU